UACGAAGGGGGCUAGCGUUGUUCGGAAUUACUGGGCGUAAAGGGCGCGUAGGCGGCGUGUCAAGUCAGGCGUGAAAGCCCCGGGCUCAACCUGGGAACCGCGCUUGAGACUGGCAUGCUCGAGUUCGGGAGAGGAUGGUGGAAUUCCCAGUGUAGAGGUGAAAUUCGUAGAUAUUGGGAAGAACACCGAUGGCGAAGGCAGCCAUCUGGACCCGACACUGACGCUGAGGCGGCGAAAAGCGUGGGGAGCAAACAGGG
rnacentral:rRNA from 1 species